rnacentral:rRNA from 1 species
CGUACACUCCUGCGGGAGGCAGCAGUGGGGAAUUUUGGACAAUGGGCGCAAGCCUGAUCCAGCCAUGCCGCGUGCGGGAAGAAGGCCUUCGGGUUGUAAACCGCUUUUGUCAGGGAAGAAAAGGUUCUGGCUAAUACCUGGGACUCAUGACGGUACCUGAAGAAUAAGCACCGGCUAACUACGUGCCAGCAGCCGCGGUAAUACGUAGGGUGCAAGCGUUAAUCGGAAUUACUGGGCGUAAAGCGUGCGCAGGCGGUUAUGCAAGACAGAGGUGAAAUCCCCGGGCUCAACCUGGGAACUGCCUUUGUGACUGCAUGGCUAGAGUACGGUAGAGGGGGAUGGAAUUCCGCGUGUAGCAGUGAAAUGCGUAGAUAUGCGGAGGAACACCGAUGGCGAAGGCAAUCCCCUGGACCUGUACUGACGCUCAUGCACGAAAGCGUGGGGAGCAAACAGGAUUAGAAACCCCUGUAGUCCCAU